AUGUGAUCCUUGGAGAUGCCAGGAAGCCCCUUGACACAUGUGGCAUGGGCUCCUUCAGAGGCUUUUGGAUCCGUCGUGAAUGUGGCAUGGGCAUGCAAAGAAAGACAGAGGCUGCAAGGGAUAAACUUCAUCUUGGGAGAUCCCUGGAGAUGGCAGGGAACCCAUGGACACAUGUGGCAUGGGCUCCUUUGGGUGCCGGUGGAUCCCUUCAUACGGUAAAGCCAGAGUUGGGUAUCAACCAGAUACACUGCAGGGGAUCAGAGGACAUGGCCUUUGUGUACUGCACAUCUGUCAGAUUUUCUCAAGCACACCCGUGUUUCCUCUUCACCUCCCACGUGGAAGUGAUGAAUUGGCCAGGACCAUGUUGGUGAGGGACAAUCAUCAUCUCAUGUUAACCUCAGAGAAGCCAGGAAGCUCCUGGACACACAUGGUGUAGGCUUCCUUGGAGGCUGUUGGAUCUCUCCUGAAUGUAGUGUUGGUGUAAAAGGCAAACCCGUGUCAUGAGGGAUGGUCAUCAUCUUGUGUGAUCCUUGGAGAUGGCAGGAAGCCCUGGACAUACAUGGUGUGGGGGCUCCUCCAGAGGCUGUUGGGAUCCUCCUGGAUGUGGUGUGGGCAUGGAAGGAAGGCCAGUGGAGACAAUGGAUGAUCUUGUUCUUAGCAGAUCACUGGAUGUGGCAGGGAGUCCUAGGACAUGUGUGGUGUGGGCUUCUUCAGGUGCUGGUGGUGUUGGCAUGAGGAAAGGAGGUAUCUUCGAGGGACAAUCUUCUUCUUGUGCGAUCCUUGGAGAUGCCAUGAGGCCCCUGGACACAUGUGGUGUGGGCUCCUUUGGAGGCUGUUGUAUCCCUUCUGAAUGUGGCGUGGGCAUAGAAGGAAGGCCAGUGGCCACGAGGGACAAUCUUGGUCUUGGGAGAUCCUGGAAAUGAUAGGGAGUCCCUUGAUAUGUGUGGCAUGGGCUCCUUCAGGUGCUAGUGGAUUCCUUAGGAUGGUGGUGUUGGCAUGAAAGGCAGGCUUGUAUCAUGAGGAAUGAUUGUCAUCUUGUCUGAUUCUUGGAGAUGGCAGGAAGCCCCUGGAAACACAUGGUGUGGACUCUUUCACAGGCUGUUGAAACCCUCCUGAAUGUGAGGCCAGAGACAGGCAGACAGCAGAUGUAUUGCAGGGAGCUGGAUGACAUGGCCCUUGGAACCUGUGCACAUGCCUGCCUUUCUGAUGCACGUCCAUGUUUUCUCUGCACCUCCCCGGUGGUGUUGGUAUAAAAAGCAGGCUUACAUCAGCAAGGGAUGAUUGUCGUCUCAUGCGAUCCUGGGAGAUGGCAGAAGUCCCGGGACACAUGGAGUGUGGGCUCUUUCGGAGGCUGUUGGAUCCCUCCUGAAUGUGUUGUGGCCAUGGAAGUAAGGCCAGUGGCUACGAGGGACAGUCUUCAUCUUGGGAGAUCCCUAGAGAGGGCAGGGAGCCCCUUGACAUGUGGAAUGUGAUCUCUGUUGGGUGCUGGUGGAUCCCACAGGUGGUCUGGCAUGGAAGAAGGCCAGAGGCUGCGAUGGAUCAUCUUUGUCUUGGGAGAUUCCUGGAGAUGGUGGGGAGCCCCUGGGCACGUGCAGCAUAUGUGGCGUGGGCUUCUUCAGGUGCUGGUGGAUCCCUCAGGAUGCUUUUCAAGGUUUUUCUAUGAGUUCUGUUAAAGAGUCUGAAAAUGGAGCGUAGAAGACAUGCUUCGAUUUCCAGGAUGGUUGUGUUUUCCAGAGAGGCGGAGGUAAACCACUGGCGCAGCCCUGCCUCCCACAGAUAAUUCCGGGUGCAGUGUUUCAUAUCUAGACUUGGACUUCUAUCCUACCAUACUUCUUUGUGUGCAGUUCAUUGUGGAACCAGCACAGAUUUUCAUACGAAAGUUAUUUCUUUUUAACCUCAAAAAGUGACAGAAUGGAGUGUAUCAUGAAAAAGUCUGACAUCAAAACCUCAAAAUGUGAUAUUGAUUGGGUGAGAUAGAAUUCCAUGGAAUUUCAUUGCCAAACCAGUGAAGUGCUAAUUUUGACAUUUGUACCAGCUAACGUAGCUGUGAAGAAACACACCAAUACACUUCUAAGGACAGCAUAGACCAAGAUCUAGGUUUCAUAUGGAUGAAUUUAUUCUUCCCUUUGAGGCAAGACAAGAAGGAAAGAAAGUAUUGGGAAUAAUGCUGCCCUCCCAUCCUCAAGGGCCAGUGGGAACUCUAAUAUUGAUUGGGUGAGAUACAAUUCCAUGGAAUUUUACCACUGAACCAGUGGAGGGCUAAUUUUGUCAUUUGUACCAGUUAACUAACUUGGGAGGAAACAGAACAACACACUCCUGAGGGUAAAAUGGAAACUCUGAGAGUUUGGUUGGCGGCAUCUAUAUACCAUAGAAACAGAGCCUGGGAAGCAGAACAGUGAGACCCAAGAGAAAUGUUCCUGCCUAUACUUGAUUGGUUUUCACAGAAUUCCAUGGACUUUAACUGCUGAACCAAUGAUGCACUGAUUUUGUCACUUGUACCAGCUAACGCAUCUGGGAGGCAACAAAACAAUACUCUCCUGAGGUUAAUGUGGACCAAAAACUAGAUUUCAUAUAAAAGAGUUUAUUCCUUCUACUUGAGGUGUGACAUGAAGGAAAGUAAUGGAAAUAAUUCUGCCCUCCCAUUCUCAAGGGCCAGGGGGAAUUCAAAUAUUGAACGGAAGUGAUUUUGGAAUUGCAUGGAAUUCUCACUGCCAUCCCAAAGAAAUGCUGAUCUUGUCACUCUUACCUGUUUCAUUCCCUGGGGGCAGAACAAAAGGACGCACUCCAAAGAUCGGCAUGAACCAAGAACUGGGUUUCAUAUAAAAUAUUUUAUUCUGUCCUCUUGAGAUGUGACAUGAGAAAAGUAUUGAGAAUACUUCUAUCACCUCAUCUUCAAGAAUCCGUAGGAAUUCUCCCAUGGUGGACUUUACGGUUAACCUGAACAGGUCUUGGAAAAAGGACUUUAAACAUUCUCCUGUUCUGUGGAAUAAGUAUACUUUUUUCUGGACAUACACCUUGUCAGUGAGUAUGUAUCAUAAUUCCUCAUAACUUCUUAUCAGGAAACAUUCGAUGUAGAAGAUUUCUUUCUCAACUUCUCUAAUUGCCCCUGUGGUUUGCAGGUUCCAUGUGAUACUAGAGUUGCAUAGAUUUUUAACCUUUACGCCAAUGAAGAUCUGAGGCAAACAUUGCCCCUUUUUUAGAAGUUUGCAUUUGUCACUGAUAACUGUAAUAAUUGAUCUUGUUGAAAAGCCUGGGAAAUGAAGAUCUGAUAUGUCACUUUUACCGGCUUCCUCAACUGAAAAAGAAUACAAUGAAACACGCUGAGAAUUUUUGUGCUUUCUCAGUCUUGCUGAUGAUCUUUCUAUGGGCCUGAAGCGUGGAGAGUGCCAGAGAGGCUGAUCCUCAGCAGUGUGGCAGAGGAAAGUUGGGUGCGACUAAGGGGUAUGCGGUGCCCACAUGCCACUGGGUCCUCAGCAGUACCACCUGGUCAACAAAGACAAGGCACCUAGCCCCACAUGAAACUUUAUUCCUUUCCCUUUUGAGAUGUGACAUGAAAGAAAAUAACAGAAAUGAUUUUUCCAUCCCAUCCUCAGGGACCAGUGGGAAUGAAUUUUACCAUCCCACCCUCAAGGGCCAGAUUGGAAGUGAUAUUGGUGGAAGACAACAUUUUGCCGCUUGGAAUUCUCACCUCCACACCAAAGAAGUACUGUUUUUGUCAUUUGCACCAGCUUCUUUCUCCAGGAAAGAUCAAAACGAUGCACUGCAAGUGUGAUUGGUCCAGAUAGCUGCCUUAUCCAACUGCCUCCUUUGGACCACUUCAUCAUGGGACAGCUUGAUGCAAUCUACUUGACAAGACCCUGGAACCCCACACCCCUCAUGGAACCAGUGUCCACCUCCCAGUCACAGUGUGACCCCAGGGAACUCUUGCCUGCUUGCUUUAAACCCACCACUUAAAAGUCUCCACAGAAAACCUGUUUGAAUAGUACCCUUGACCCAAUAAGGGCAUUGGCCCCUGGGUGUCUCUCUCUCUCUCUCUCUCUCUCUCUCCCUCUCUCUCCCUCUCUCUCUCUCGCUCCCUGACCUCUGCGUGUGGACUCCAGGCAUGCCAUAUACCCCUCAGGACCUGAAGCAAAAGAAUGAAUUAAAGAAAACUCCAGAGAAUGAGCUGACAACCUACUCCCUGGUCAGUGGCUCUCCAUGCCUACCUGUGGUCUCUUGGACACCCUUGCAGAAGAUGACUUCCUGGGAACUCUUCUGGGAGUGAAUGUUAUCAGCAAAUUCCCAAAACAACACCCCUUAGACAAAAAGCCUCCUCACCUAUGCAUUGCCUAGACCACCCACUAAAGGUGAUGGCCACAAAGAGGUGGAUUUGUUGAGUUGGUGCCAUUCCUUCUACUGCCAGCUUCACCAAAACAAUGACACAGUCUUCCUUCCGCAUGGAGACUCUUCUCUUUCCUGUGUUGCAGUGGAUGCCUCCUGCAGAUAAGAAAUGCUUAACUGAGAAAUGCUCAUGUUGGGAUAUCAUCGAUGAGACUUUAAUUUGGGCAUGGUGACUGUUUCCCUUGCUGCCACUUGACUCAAUCCCAGGAGCCUCAGUAGAGGAUAUAAUAUUACACAAGAUGCUCAAAAUGGUGGAAUUGCUCAGUGCUCCCAUAAAUAUACAUUUAUAAUUUUCAUUUGCCACAUGGUAAACUGAAAAAUACAGACUAUAUUAAAAAGAAACUGCAUGAUUUUUUUUCAAAAAUUCAAAGCAUAUUUAAAUAAUAUAUAAAUUAAAUGCCCUCCUCUCUUCCAAUUCUGUCCCUAUAGUUUUCCUCUAUUAAGUGAACUACAUGCAUUCUUUUAGUGGAUAGAUGCACACAAACACACAAGCCAUUAUGGGGAAGGAUCCACGUGUGUGGCCAUAUUGUAACACAUUUUUCUGCAAAUCACCUCUUUCAUUUAACAGCCCUUAUUCAAUGGCCUUUUUCUUUUUCAGUAGUACAUACACAUCUGUGUCAUUUGUUGAAUGACGACAUGAAUGUUUUGUAGAUAAAAUAUAAUUAAAUGUUUUAAGCAUUUCUCACUCAUAGAUAUUUAUGUUAGCACCAAAUUUCUGUGCAAUGAACCUCCCUAUAUAUCAGUAAUUUUGCAUUUGUCUAUAAUAUCAUAAUAAAUUACUUAUCAGUUGAAUUACUGGGAUUAAGUAUGUGCACACUUUAUAUUUAUAUUUUGAAAAUUAUUGCAAGAUUGCCUUCAAAAAUGUGGUUAACAACUUUAUCUUCAAAUGGCAAUGAAUGAGAUUGCCAGCUUUCCUACAGCCUCACAGACAAUGGAUUUUAUAAAUAUUUAACAUUUUUGCCAAUGUGAUCACCCAAACUAUUGUCUUAAAUUGUAUCUCUUUUGUUUUUGAGUUUGGUCAUUUUUUCAUGUUUAUUAGCCAUCUGUAUUUUUUAAUUUCUUCUUUAUGUCCAAUUUUGUGGGUGGGAGGAGGAUUUAGUCUCUUCCUGAUUUCGAAGAGCUCAUUUACUAUUUCGGGAAAUAAGAUUUGGAUUGUCAACCAUUAUAGCUAUUUUUUACACACUUUUCAACUUUGUUUUUGUUAUAAGAAUGUGUAUGAUUGUUACAUGUCCAAGUAUAACCAUGUUCGCUUUUAUGGCUUCUGAGUUUCAUGUCAUUUUUGGAAAGAUAUAUAUAUUGAGUCCAUAAAACCCUUCACCUAUGUUAAAUUCUAAUUCUUUUGUGUUUUUUUAAUUCAAAUUCUUAAAUCAUGAGAAAUUUUUUUGUUUUGAAAUCUUAAAGUUGCCAAGUUACUUGCCAUUACUUGCGAUUAUUUGCCAAUAAUUGCCCAUUUAUCUGUACCGCCAUCUUGCGCAUAUGCUGUACUCUCAUCUGUGACUGGCUCCAUUUUUGUUCUGUGGAUUUGUGUGUCUCUUCUUCUGCCUCCUGUCUCGUGUCUGCUCGUUGGAAGAAAUUACAGUUUAGACUGCAAUUUCAUCAACUUUAAUAAAUCAAUUGAGGGGAGAAUUGGUUUUUAAAAAUAUUAAGUAAGUCUUCGUAUCCAAGGACAAGGUAUGUCUUUUCUUAUUCAAUAAUUUUAAUUACUGUUAAUAUUUUCACUGUGGUGAUGGGAGUUUUUCUUUUAAUUUAUUUUCUUGUUCAUUUUUUGUAUCUAAAGUUUUUGUUUUGUUUUGUUUUGGGGGUAAGUUGUCACCUUACUGUUUCUUGUUGCUUUUCAGAUUUUUUCAAAGUAUAGACUAAAUCCUUCACAAAUAUUUAAAGUUUUUAUUUUCCCCCUUCAUAUUGAUCCUGAUUUUAGUUAUGUUGACAAAGUCCACAGACUGUUACUAUCAGAACACUUGAACAGUUAUGGAAAUAUUACCUACCCUUGAUUUAAUCAGAGUUUAAUGGUAUGCUUCUUUGGUUUGACUGGCACAUUGUCGCUGGUCAUUUCCUCCCAAAGACCACCAGAAAGAGCUAUGAUCAAGCAAAGCUGAGUUUGUUAAACUUACCUGCAGCAAGGGAAAACACCACCUUGAUAGGGUUUAAUAAUGUUUCAAAAUCAAGAAAUGAGGCUUUGGGGUCUGGGCAGGGAACUAAUUAGAAAUGGGCAAAAUUUGUCAUGCAAUACCUUGUGGGAAAGUGAGAUGAGGUUCUUAAUGUGAGUAUUGAUGGUGAAAUCAUUUUCUAGGUGAGCUGUUUGCCUAUAUAAAGAUGUUAUCAAUGACAGAAGAACUAUUUGCCUAGAUAAACAAACUGAAUUUAUUUAUUGGUUUACAGUUUUAUCUUGCUGGGCAGGACUCUGCUGGGGGUGGUAUCAGGUCUUAUUCCCAAUAGGUAAGUUAUUUGGAUAUGGGUGGUCUUAAUCAUCAAUGUGUAAAAUGCUGAUUUUAAGUGCGAAAUACUUUGUCUACCAUGUUAGGAAAGUCUGCCACCUUUUAUCUUUUUUAAGGAAUUUUAAUCAAAACCAGGUGGUAGAUAUAAUCAAAUUGUUUUGCAGAAUCAAUUUUCCUGUUCUCUUUAAAGACUUUUAUCACUGUGAAUUAAUUUACUAUUAUUGCAACUUCCUUUAAUUCCUUGAAUGAACAGACCCUACUGGUUUUAAAAAUGUUUUAUUCUUUUAAUUUACUACUUAAUUGUGGGUAUUUUAAUUUGAUUUGGAAUUUUUACAAGUAUACAACUAAGUGAAAUUGAUCUGUGAUUUUUCUUUUUUGUGCUAUUUUUGUCAUGUUUUGAUAUCAGAUAUUCUGGUUGUGUUAAAAUAAUUUUGAGGAUUUUCUUCUUAUACUGUGUUCUAGAGUGGGUAAAAAAGCCCUAGUCUCACUAUCAGUGUUUAAGUGAACACAUCAGUGACAUCAUCUGGACUCUCCUUUGUUUUUGCUGGUUUGGAGUUAGGACAUCUAGAAGUUUUUUUCUUUUUUUCCUUUUUUUGUAUGGUUAUUGCUUGUUCUUUGUUUUGUGUCAAAUUUAACCUGUUUUCUCUUAGCAAAUCACAGCUCAUGCAGAUUUUCAAACACAUUAGCCUUGUUAUACAAAGUGUUCUUUCAUCAUUCUAUUAAAUUUCCAUUUUCAUUCCAGUUAUAGUUAUUUCUGCUGUGCCUUUGUUAAUGAAUAAGUUUAAACAGUGGAUGUUUAGCAUCACUAGCCUUCCCCUUCCAUCUCCCUUAAUCAGGACCUUGGUAUAAUUUAUCAGGUAUUUUUUAAGGUUCUAAUUUACUUAUAUAUAUUGUUUCUGUAUUCUUUUGUUUCUUUUCUUAAUAAAUUCUUAAA
rnacentral:lncRNA from 1 species